GCCGGCGAGCGGCGGACGGGUGAGUAAUGUCUGGGAAACUGCCCGAUGGAGGGGAUAACUACUGGAAACGUGGCUAAUACCGCAUAACGUCUACGGACCAAGUGGGGGACCUUCGGGGCCUCACACCAUCGGAUGUGCCCAGAUGGGAUUAGCUAGUAGGUGGGGUAAUGGCUCACCUAGGCGACGAUCCCUAGCUGGUCUGAGAGGAUGACCAGCCACACUGGAACUGAGACACGGCCCAG
rnacentral:rRNA from 1 species